rnacentral:rRNA from 1 species
UUCCGGUUGAUCCUGCCGGACCUGACUGCUAUCGGAUUGAUACUAAGCCAUGCGAGUCAUUGUAGUAAUACAAGGCAGACGGCUCAGUAACGCGUAGUCAACCUAACCUAUGGACGGGAAUAACCUCGGGAAACUGAGUAUAAUGCCCGAUAGAACAUUAUGCCUGGAAUGGUUUAUGUUCCAAAUGAUUUAUCGCCGUAGGAUGGGACUGCGGCCUAUCAGUUUGUUGGUGAGGUAAUGGCCCACCAAGACUAUUACAGGUACGGGCUCUGAGAGGAGUAGCCCGGAGAUGGGUACUGAGACACGGACCCAGGCCCUAUGGGGCGCAGCAGGCGAGAAAACUUUGCAAUGUGCGAAAGCACGACAAGGUUAAUCCGAGUGGUUUCUGCUAAAGGAACCUUUUGUCGGUCCUAGAAACACCGAUGAAUAAGGGGUGGGCAAGUUCUGGUGUCAGCCGCCGCGGUAAAACCAGCACCUCAAGUGGUCAGGAUGAUUAUUGGGCCUAAAGCAUCCGUAGCCGGCUCUGUAAGUUUUCGGUUAAAUCUGUACGCUUAACGUACAGGCCGCCGGGAAUACUGCAGAGCUAGGGAGUGGGAGAGGUAGACGGUACUCGGUAGGAAGGGGUAAAAUCCUUUGAUCUAUUGAUGACCACCUGUGGC